rnacentral:rRNA from 1 species
GUGAGGAAUAUUGGUCAAUGGGCGAGAGCCUGAACCAGCCAAGUCGCGUGAAGGAAGACCGUCCUAAGGAUUGUAAACUUCUUUUAUACGGGAAUAACGGGCGAUACGAGUAUUGCAUUGAAUGUACCGUAAGAAUAAGCAUCGGCUAACUCCGUGCCAGCAGCCGCGGUAAUACGGAGGAUGCGAGCGUUAUCCGGAUUUAUUGGGUUUAAAGGGUGCGUAGGUUGUUCGGUAAGUCAGCGGUGAAACCUGAGCGCUCAACGUUCAGCCUGCCGUUGAAACUGCCGGGCUUGAGUUCAGUGGCGGCAGGCGGAAUUCGUGGUGUAGCGGUGAAAUGCAUAGAUAUCACGAGGAACUCCGAUUGCGAAGGCAGCUUGCCAUACUGCGACUGACACUGAAGCACGAAGGCGUGGGUAUCAAACAGGAUUAGAUACCCUGGUAGUCCACGCAGUAAACGAUGAUUACUAGGAGUUUGCGAUAUACCGUCAAGCUUCCACAGCGAAAGCGUUAAGUAAUCCACCUGGGGAGUACGCCGGCAACGGUGAAACUCAAAGGAAUUGACGGGGGCCCGCACAAGCGGAGGAACAUGUGGUUUAAUUCGAUGAUACGCGAGGAACCUUACCCGGGCUUGAACCAAGAGUGACGAGUGCAGAGAUGCGCUUUUUCUUCGGACACUUUUGGAGGUGCUGCAUGGUUGUCGUCAGCUCGUGCCGUGAGGUGUCGGCUUAAGUGCCAUAACGAGCGCAACCCGCGUCGAUAGUUACUAACAGGUCAUGCUGAGGACUCUAUCGAGACAGCCGUCGUAAGACGAGAGGAAGGGGCGGAUGACGUCAAAUCAGCACGGCCCUUACAUCCGGGGCGACACACGUGUUACAAUGGCAGGGACAAAGGGAAGCGACAUGGUGACAUGAAGCGGAUCUCCAAACCCUGUCCCAGUUCGGAUCGGAGUCUGCAACUCGACUCCGUGAAGCUGGAUUCGCUAGUAAUCGCGCAUCAGCCAUGGCGCGGUGAAUACGUUCCCGGGCCUUGUACACACCGCCCGUCAAGCCAUGGAAGUUGGGAGUACCUGAAGAGCGUAACCGCAAGGGGCGCUUAAGGGUAAUACCAGUGACUGGGGCUAAGUCGUAACAAGGUAGCCGUACCGGAAGGUGCGG